rnacentral:rRNA from 1 species
GACGAACGCUGGCGCCGUGCUUAACACAUGCAAGUCGAACGCUGAAGCCCUCGGGGGUGGAUGAGUGGCGAACGGGUGAGUAACACGUGGGUAAUCUGCCCUGCCCUCUGGGACAAGCCUUGGAAACGGGGCCUAAUCCCGGAUAGGACACAUCUCUGCAUGGCGUGUGUGUGGAAAGUUCCGGCGGUGCAGGUUAAGCCCGCGGCCUAUCAGCUUGAUGGUGGGGUGAUGGCCUAGCAAAGCGACGACGGGUAGCCGGCCUGAGAGGGUGACCGGCCAGACUGGGACUGAGACACGGGCCAGACUCCUACGGGAGGCAGCAGUGGGGAAUCUUGCGCAAUGGGCGAAAGCCUGACGCAGCAACGCCGCGUGGGGGAUGACGGCCUUCGGGUUGUAAACCUCUUUCGACCGGGACGAAGGAUUCGUUUGACGGUACCGGUAGAAGAAGCACCGGCUAACUACGUGCCAGCCGCCGCAGUAA